ensembl:lncRNA
CUAUAAAUACAGUCGUGGCCAAAAGUUUUGAGAAUGACACAAAUAUACAUUUUCACAAAGUUUGCUACUUCAGUGUCUUUAGAUAUUUUUGUCAGAUGUUGCUAUGGAAUACUGUAACAUAAUUACAAGCAUUUCAUAACUUUCAAAGCCUUUUAUUGACAAUUACAUGAAGUUGAUGAAAAUAGUUAAUUUGCAGUGUUGACCCUUCUUUUUCAAGACCUCUGCAAUCUGCCUUGGCAUGCUAUUAAUUAACUUCCUAGCCACAUCCUGACCUAUGGCAGCCCAUUCUUGCAUAAUCAAUGCUUGGAGUUUAUCAGAAUUUGUGGGUUUUUGUUUGUCCACCCGCCUCUUGAGGAUUGACCUCAAGUUCUCAAUGGGAUUAAGGUCUGGGGUGUUUCCUGGCCAUGACCCAAAAUAUCGAUGUUUUGUUCCCCGGGCCACUUAGUUAUCACUUUUGCCUUAUGGCAAGGUGCUCCAUCAUGCCGGAAAAGGCAUUGUUCCUCACCAAACUGUUCCUGGAUGGUUGGGAGAAGUUGCUCUCCUGAGCAAGCUCUGUACUGAUGGUGUCCUGAUACCGCAGCUGAAUCAAUUUUAGGAGACGGUCCUGGCGCUUGCUGGACUUUCUUGGGUGCCCUGAAUCCUUCUACACAACAAUUGAACCGCUCUCCUUCAAGUUCUUGAUUAUCCGAUAAAUGGUUGAUUUAGGUGCAAUCUUACUGGCAGCAAUAUCCUUGCCUGCAAAGCCCUUUUUGUGCAAAGCAAUGAUGACGGCACAUGUUUCCUUGCAGGUAACCAUGAUUGACAGAGGAAGAACAAUGAUUCCAAGCACCACCCUCGUUUUGAAGCUUCCAGUCUGUUAUUCGAACUCAAUCAGCAUGACAGAGUGAUCUCCAGCCUUGUCCUCGUCAACACUCACACCAGUCUUAACGAGAGAAUCACUGACAUGAUAUCAGCUGGUCCUUUUGUGGCAGGGCUGACUCAGUGGAAAAGUUUUUUGGGGAUCCAGUUCAUUUGCAUGGCAAAGAGGGACUUUGCAAUUAAUUGCAAUUCAUCUGAUCACUCUUCAUAACAUUCUGGAGUAUAUGUAUAUGCAAAUUGCCAUCAUACAUCAUACAGCAGUCUUUGUGAAAAUUAAUAUUUGUAUCAUUCAGAAAACUUUUGACCACAACUGUACACUACCGGUCAAAAGUUUGGACACACCUACUCAUUUAAGAUUUUUCUAUAUUUUUUACUAUUUUCUACAUUGUAGAAUAAUAGUGAAGACAUCAAAACCAUGAAAUAACACUUAUGGAAUCAUGUAGUAACCAAAAAAGUGUUAAACGAAUCAAAAUAUAUUUUAUAUUUGAGAUUCUUCAAAUAGCCACCCUUUGCCUUGACGACAGCUUUGCACACUCUUGGCAUUCUCUCAACCAGCCAUAUGAGGUAAUCACCUGGAAUGUAUUUCAAUUAACAGGUGUGGAAUUUCUUUCCUUCUUAAUGCAUUUGAGCCAAUCAGUUGUGUUGUGACAAGGUAGGGGUGGUAUACAGAAGAUAGCCCUAUUUGGUAAAAUACCAAGUCUAUAAAUGGCAAGAACAGCUCAAAUAAGAAAAGAGAAAUGACAGUCCAACAUUUUUUUAAGACAUGGAGGUCAGUCAACUUGAAACAUUUCAAGGACUUUGAAAGUUUCUUCAAGUGCUGUCCCAGAAACCAUCAAGAGCUAUGAUGAAACUGUUGUAAUGUGCAACAUCUGGUAAGGUCUCUCUGUGCUGUAGGACCUGGUGAAAGUCCAUAAGAGUCUCAUGGUGGAGGUGCAAGACUCCACUCUCAACAAGAACACCUUAAACCUCUACAAGAUCUACAUCACCUAUAAGGACAGAGAAUCAGCCGGUUCUGGCUCCGUGGCAUCAGUCAGACUGAGUCUCCUGCGGUGGACAAUUGGUUCCGGAGGAAACCUGGGAGGCCGCCCACGUCCACCUUCAGCCCGCCAGACCGUCACCGCAGUGAGGCCCCGGUGUUUGCACCAGGGGACAGGCUCUGGCUCUCCACCCGAAACCUGCACCUCCGCCUGCCCUGCCGGAAGCUGGGUCCGCGGUUUGUGGGGCCGUUUAAAGUCCUGAGGAGAGUGAACGAGGUAUGUUAUAGGUUACAGCUACCCACUAAAUACCGUAUUAAUCCCUCGUUCCAUGUGUCUCUCCUCAGGCCGGUGGUGGCUGGUCCGCUCCAGCAGUCUGAGGUGCGGGAGGUUCCUCCAACCCCUCUGGACAUUGAGGGGGACCCGACGUACUCCGUUCGAUCCAUUUUGGAUUCAAGCGAGGGGCCUUCAAGCGAGGGGAUUUGGUGAGGGGAUUCAAGCGAGGGGAUUCGGGAGAGGGGCCUUCAGCACCUCGUGGACUGGGAGGGGUACGGUCCGGAGGAGAGAUGCUGGGUUCCGGUGGAGGACGUAUUAGAUCCUUCCAUGCUGCGAGAAUUCCACCGUCUCCAUCCGGAUCGCCCUGCGCCUCGCCCUCCGGGUCGUCCUCAAGGCCAGUGUUGACCCGCUGCUGGAGCCGCGCGUCAGGGGGGUUACUGUCACGACUUCUACCGAAGUCGAUGCCUCUCCUUGUUCGGGUGGUGCUCAAUGGUCGACGUCACCCGUCUUCUAGCCCUCAUUGAUCCAUUUUCCAUUUUCCAUUGGUUUUGUCUUGUCUUCCUACACACCUGGUUUCAAUCCCAGUCAUUACCUGUUGUGUAUUUAACCCUAUUCUGUUUCCCAUCACGUCUUUGUCAGCGAUUUGUUUCUUGUUUAAGUUUUGCGUUUGUAUUUGGUGCGCGACCCAAUUUGCUUAAUUUGUAUUUUAUGGUUUUGGAGUUAUGUUUUAUGAAAUUACUCCAUUUACCGAGUUUAUUCUCCUGCGCCUGACUUCCCUGCCACCUAUACACACGUUUGUGACAAUCAGUAAGGAACUUCCUUCACCUGAUUGUCUAGGUCUUAAGGAAUAAAAACAUAAACCAGCAGACACUAGGCCCUCCACGGAAUGAGUUUGACACCCCUGCUCUAAACAAUAAAUGCAUUUGACUUUGUGAAAAUACAUUUUUAUUUUCCUAACUUGCUUACCACUUUUUCCAUUUGGUUUCUUC